AUACGUAGGUGGCAAGCGUUGUCCGGAAUUAUUGGGCGUAAAGCGCGCGCAGGUGGUUCCUUAAGUCUGAUGUGAAAGCCCCCGGCUCAACCGGGGAGGGUCAUUGGAAACUGGGGAACUUGAGUGCAGAAGAGGAUAGUGGAAUCCCAAGUGUAGAGGUGAAAUGCGUAGAGAUUUGGAGGAACACCAGUGGCGAAGGCGACUGUCUGGUCUGUAACUGACACUGAGGCGCGAAAGCGUGGAGAGCAAACAGGAUUAGAUACCCUGGUAGUCCACGCCGUAAACGAUGAGUGCUAAGUGUUGGGGGGUUUCCGCCCCUCAGUGCUGCAGCUAACGCAUUAAGCACUCCGCCUGGGGAGUACGGUCGCAAGACUGAAACUCAAAUGAAUUGACGGGG
rnacentral:rRNA from 1 species